GGUCAUCUCAUUUUAUAGGGGCUAGAUUCGUGAUUUUCUGUGGAAGCUGUCCUUGAUAAAUCCUAACCAUUGAUGUCUCUUAAGCAAGCAUAUCUAAUUGGUGGAACAACAUGCAAAGGUCGAAAAACUGUCCGAUCGCAGUAUUUCUUUAAGUACUACUGGUAGGUUGUGAGCUGGGAGGGAACCCUCUUGAGUCAUAUUCAGAUUUGCGGUAAACCUUAUUUAUUUAUUGCAGUAGACCUGAUUAUCUAAUGCUCGAGAUUUUGUGAGCUUGUCAUGCAAGACAUAAGCUUCAAAAUGGCUUUUAUAAUGGUUCCAUGCUUUAGAUGGAGCACGGGCAGGCAUACAAUGUGACGGAUAAUCGCCUUCUCAAAGAGUUGGUUCUUUUCUCUUCUUUGCGUGGCAGCUUCUCUAGCAAUAGGCGAGGAACUUCUGGAAGUGAAUUCAUAGGAUUUGGAGGCUGAUGAAAGUUUUGGGAUAAGGAUGCUAUAAAAAAAGGUAAUUUUUGGUCUUGCAUGGAUUCUGUCAUCCUUCAUUAUUCUCUAUUUUCCAUCUUUUCUUCAAGUAAUAGUGUGAAAAAAGACGAAGUGGCUUGCUUAGAGGCCAACUAGUGCUGGCGAUAACUUUAAGUUCCAUUUUUGCGCUUCAUUUAUGUAGGAGUUGCAGAAGCCGAGGUAGAAAUUUCUCUAGAGUUGGUAUUAACUAGGGUAAUCUCUUUGGACUUUCCCAUGAUGAUGUCCUUAGUCUUGGUAACAGUUAUCCAAUCAAUCAAUUAUUUAUUCUGGUCCUUUGUCUACUUUUAUUUUUCCUGAUCUUGCUACUUAUCUCUGUAUAUCUGGUGGUAAUUUGAUUCACUUGUAAACUUUUAUGCUUCAGAGGCCUGGAUCAUACUCUAUUGCUAUGUGGUGGUCUAUCGGUUGCUGCUGCAGGAAUUUCUAUACAAUAGUUUGAAUUUGAUUUUCCACUACAACUGUUCAUGAAAUACUCUUUCCUUAUAAACUUAUUACUAUUGUUUGACUACUAGAAUUAUUCCGAAUUUGUUAUUUAUAAGAUUCACUUCUAUUUAUUUGCCCCUUUUUCUUCAUAGCUAUUUAUUUGCCCCUUUUUCUUCCUAGCUAUUUCGUAGUAUUAUUUGCUAAUCAAAUUGGAAAGGGCGGAAAUAAAAUAUAAAAAUUUUAUGCUUUGCAAGUUGGAAGGUCCAUUGUUCUGCAGGCUACUGCUGCAGCGUAUUGGAGACUGGACAAGAUUUUUGGAUCGCUAAAUGCCUUUCCUCCUACUCAACUCUGUAUACCAUUUCUUUUCCUACUCUUCUGUUGGUUGAUUUGUUCAUUAAAUAUUGCACUUUAUUCUUUUAUUGACAGCUUUUGAAUUUAUAUGUUAAGGCCAUUUUCUCCAGAAGGUUGUGAUGAUUCUUGGACCCGGGUUUUGCUAUGAAAGGAAAGCGGCUAUUUUCUUGAUGACGAGGCAAUCUUGGAUUUGGCAUUCUUGGCUGUUUGUGGUACUCCGUUUAGUUUGGUUCUGGUGGUUAUGUUCUAUAUUGUUUCGAUGUGCUCUCUCUCCCUCUUUUCAAUUGUUAAUGUUCUGGCUUGUGAAAUGAUCUCUGACAUGCUAAAUUCAUGGGAAAUCCUAAACCAUUAAGCUUAAAAGGUUGCUAUUUAGGAUUUCUCCGGAGGCUUAUUUCGUUAAAUGCUAAGACUAGUUCUCUGGUUCUUCAUAUAAAGAGUUUGGAUUAUUUUAUUGCU